GAGCUUCAUAGCUCAAUUGAUAGAGCAUCGCACUGUUAACACGAAGGUCAUGAGUUCAAAUCCCGUUGUUUU